rnacentral:tRNA from 1 species
UCUAAUAUGGCAGAAAUCACUUAUGCAGUGAAUUUAAGAUUCAUUUAUGAAUAAUUAUAUUUUAUUAGAA